GAAUGGAAGGGCCAUCGCUCAACGGAUAAAAGGUACUCCGGGGAUAACAGGCUGAUACCGCCCAAGAGUUCAUAUCGACGGCGGUGUUUGGCACCUCGAUGUCGGCUCAUCACAUCCUGGGGCUGAAGUAGGUCCCAAGGGUAUGGCUGUUCGCCAUUUAAAGUGGUACGCGAGCUGGGUUUAGAACGUCGUGAGACAGUUCGGUCCCUAUCUGCCGUGGGCGCUGGAGAAUUGAGGGGGGCUGCUCCUAGUACGAGAGGACCGGAGUGGACGCAUCACUGGUGUUCGGGUUGUCAUGCCAAUGGCACUGCCCGGUAGCUAAAUGCGGAAGAGAUAAGUGCUGAAAGCAUCUAAGCACGAAACUUGCCCCGAGAUGAGUUCUCCCUGAGACUUUAAGUCUCCUGAAGGAACGUUAAAGACGAUGACGUUGAUAGGCCGGGUGUGUAAGCGCAGCGAUGCGUUGAGCUAACCGGUACUAAUGAACCGUGAGGCUUAACCUUACAACGCCGAAG
rnacentral:rRNA from 1 species